rnacentral:rRNA from 1 species
UACGAGGGGGGCGAGCGUUGUUCGGAAUUAUUGGGCGUAAAGCGUGCGCAGGCGGUUCGUUGUGUCGGCGGUGAAAGCCCCGGGCUUAACCUGGGAAUGGCCGUUGAAACUGGCGAACUGGAGUGUGGCAGAGGGGGGUGGAAUUCCGCGUGUAGCAGUGAAAUGCGUAGAGAUGCGGAGGAACACCGGUGGCGAAGGCGGCCUGCUGGGCUAUGGCUGACACUGAGGCGCGACAGCGUGGGGAGCAAACAGG